rnacentral:rRNA from 1 species
AACGAACGCUGGCGGCAGGCUUAACACAUGCAAGUCGAACGCAUCCUUCGGGGUGAGUGGCAGACGGGUGAGUAACGCGUGGGAACGUGCCCUUCAGUUCGGGAUAACCCAGGGAAACUUGGGCUAAUACCGGAUACGUGCGAGAGCAGAAAGAUUUAUCGCUGAAGGAUCGGCCCGCGUCUGAUUAGCUGGUUGGUGGGGUAAUGGCCCACCAAGGCGACGAUCAGUAGCUGGUCUGAGAGGAUGAUCAGCCACAUUGGGACUGAGACACGGCCCAAACUCCUACGGGAGGCAGCAGUGGGGAAUAUUGGACAAUGGGCGCAAGCCUGAUCCAGCCAUGCCGCGUGAGUGAUGAAGGCCUUAGGGUUGUAAAGCUCUUUCGUCCGGGACGAUAAUGACGGUACCGGAAGAAGAAGCCCCGGCUAACUUCGUGCCAGCAGCCGCCGUAAAAC